GCGCGAGUGGCGGAAUUGGUAGACGCGCUAGGUUGAGGGCCUAGUGGUAGCAAUACUGUGGGGGUUCGAGUCCCCCCUUGCGCACCA
rnacentral:tRNA from 1 species